GCACUUAUCUGACUGGAGAGAUCCCUGAUUAUGAAGGUGGUUUUCCCAGAGUGAGGCCCACCCAUUAUAUUUGGGAGUGUGCUGACCCCUGAGAUUUCCCCAAAUGGUGGAAACUGGAUUGCAUAAUUGGGGGGGGGAGGAUUAGACCCCUG
rnacentral:snRNA from 1 species